rnacentral:rRNA from 1 species
GACGAACGCUGGCGGCGUGCCUAAUACAUGCAAGUCGAGCGAGCUUGCCUAGAUGAAUUUGGUGCUUGCACCAGAUGAAACUAGAUACAAGCGAGCGGCGGACGGGUGAGUAACACGUGGGUAACCUGCCCAAGAGACUGGGAUAACACCUGGAAACAGAUGCUAAUACCGGAUAACAACACUAGACGCAUGUCUAGAGUUUAAAAGAUGGUUCUGCUAUCACUCUUGGAUGGACCUGCGGUGCACUAGCUAGUUGGUAAGGUAACGGCUUACCAAGGCAAUGAUGCAUAGCCGAGUUGAGAGACUGAUCGGCCACAUUGGGACUGAGACACGGCCCAAACUCCUACGGGAGGCAGCAGUAGGGAAUCUUCCACAAUGGACGCAAGUCUGAUGGAGCAACGCCGCGUGAGUGAAGAAGGGUUUCGGCUCGUAAAGCUCUGUUGGUAGUGAAGAAAGAUAGAGGUAGUAACUGGCCUUUAUUUGACGGUAAUUACUUAGAAAGUCACGGCUAACUACGUGCCAGCAGCCGCGGUAAUACGUAGGUGGCAAGCGUUGUCCGGAUUUAUUGGGCGUAAAGCGAGUGCAGGCGGUUCAAUAAGUCUGAUGUGAAAGCCUUCGGCUCAACCGGAGAAUUGCAUCAGAAACUGUUGAACUUGAGUGCAGAAGAGGAGAGUGGAACUCCAUGUGUAGCGGUGGAAUGCGUAGAUAUAUGGAAGAACACCAGUGGCGAAGGCGGCUCUCUGGUCUGCAACUGACGCUGAGGCUCGAAAGCAUGGGUAGCGAACAGG